AACGUAGACAUGAACGACGCAUGUAAAACUGUAGUAUCUGUUCUUACCAGCUUAAUAUAUGACACGGGUUCUGUUGGGACCCAAGAUAUUAAACUUAUUUUUGCAACUUCGCGGAAUGCUUGAAGCUUGCUACAGUCCCACGUUUCGGCCCACGUUUUUUGCCCACGCAGAACAAAAAUGCACGGAAGCUUA